rnacentral:rRNA from 1 species
GAUGAACGCUAGCGGCAGGCCUAACACAUGCAAGUCGAGGGGUAGAGGAAGCUUGCUUCCUUGAGACCGGCGCACGGGUGCGUAACGCGUAUGCAAUCUACCUUAUACAGAGGGAUAGCCCAGAGAAAUUUGGAUUAAUACCUCAUAGUAUUAUUGAAUGGCAUCAUUUAAUAAUUAAAGUUCCAACGGUAUAAGAUGAGCAUGCGUCCCAUUAGUUAGUUGGUAAGGUAACGGCUUACCAAGACAAUGAUGGGUAGGGGUCCUGAGAGGGAGAUCCCCCACACUGGUACUGAGACACGGACCAGACUCCUACGGGAGGCAGCAGUGAGGAAUAUUGGUCAAUGGACGCAAGUCUGAACCAGCCAUGCCGCGUGCAGGAUGACGGUCCUAUGGAUUGUGAACUGCUUUUAUACAGGAAGAAACACUCGGACGUGUCCGAGCUUGACGGUACUGUAGGAAUAAGGAUCGGCUAACUCCGUGCCAGCAGCCGCCGCAGUAA